rnacentral:rRNA from 1 species
AACGAACGCUGGCGGCAUGCCUAACACAUGCAAGUCGAACGAGACCUUCGGGUCUAGUGGCGCACGGGUGCGUAACGCGUGGGAAUCUGCCCUUAGGUUCGGAAUAACUUCGGGAAACUGAAGCUAAUACCGGAUGAUGACGUAAGUCCAAAGAUUUAUCGCCUAAGGAUGAGCCCGCGUAGGAUUAGCUAGUUGGUGAGGUAAAGGCUCACCAAGGCGACGAUCCUUAGCUGGUCUGAGAGGAUGAUCAGCCACACUGGGACUGAGACACGGCCCAGACUCCUACGGGAGGCAGCAGUGGGGAAUAUUGGACAAUGGGCGAAAGCCUGAUCCAGCGACGCCGCGUGGUGGAUGAAGGUCUUCGGAUCGUAACACCUUUUGUAUGGGACGAAUUUUAUGACGGUACCAUGCGAAUAAGAGGUUGCUAACUCUGUGCCAGCAGCCGCGGUAAU